GCGAGUGAAGAGGGAAGAGCUCAAAUUUGAAAUCUGGCGGUCUCAGGCCGUCCGAGUUGUAAUCUAGAGAGGCGUUUUCCGUGCCGGACCGUGUACAAGUCCCUUGGAACAGGGCGUCAUAGAGGGUGAGAAUCCCGUCCAUGACACGGACUCCCGGUGCUCUGUGAUACGCCUUCGAAGAGUCGAGUUGUUUGGGAAUGCAGCUCAAAACGGGUGGUAAAUUCCAUCUAAAGCUAAAUACAGGCGAGAGACCGAUAGCGAACAAGUACCGUGAGGGAAAGAUGAAAAGAACUUUGGAAAGAGAGUUAAACAGUACGUGAAAUUGUUGAAAGGGAAACGCUUGAAGUCAGUCGCGUCUGCCAGGACUCAGCCUUGCUUCUGCUCGGUGCACUUCCUGGUGGAUGGGCCAGCAUCGAUUUUGGCCGCCGGAAAAGGGCGGGAGGAAUGUGGCAGCUUGCUGUGUUAUAGCCUCCCGUCGUACACGGUGGUUGGGAUCGAGGAAUGCAGCACGCCUUUUGGUCGGGGUUCGCCCACGCCACGUGCUUAGGAUGCUGGCGUAAUGGCUUUAAACGACCCGUCUUGAAACACGGACCAAGGAGUCUAACAUGCCUGCGAGUGUUUGGGUGUCAAACCCAGGCGCGUAAUGAAAGUGAAAAGUUGGGACUCUUUAGUGAGGCACCGACGCCCGAUCCUGACGUUUUCUGACGGAUUUGAGGCAGAGCAUGUAUGUUGGGACCCGAAAGAUGGUGAACUAUGCCUGAAUAGGGUGAAGCCAGAGGAAACUCUGG
rnacentral:rRNA from 2 species